GACGAACGCUGGCGGCGUGCCUAAUACAUGCAAGUCGAACGCUUUUUCUUUCACCGGAGCUUGCUCCACCGAAAGAAAAAGAGUGGCGAACGGGUGAGUAACACGUGGGUAACCUGCCCAUCAGAAGGGGAUAACACUUGGAAACAGGUGCUAAUACCGUAUAACACUAUUUUCCGCAUGGAAGAAAGUUGAAAGGCGCUUUUGCGUCACUGAUGGAUGGACCCGCGGUGCAUUAGCUAGUUGGUGAGGUAACGGCUCACCAAGGCAACGAUGCAUAGCCGACCUGAGAGGGUGAUCGGCCACACUGGGACAGAGACACGGCCCAGACUCCUACGGGAGGCAGCAGUAGGGAAUCUUCGGCAAUGGACGAAAGUCUGACCGAGCAACGCCGCGUGAGUGAAGAAGGUUUUCGGAUCGUAAAACUCUGUUGUUAGAGAAGAACAAGGAUGAGAGUAGAACGUUCAUCCCUUGACGGUAUCUAACCAGGAAGCCACGGCUAACUACGUGCCAGCCGCCGCGGUAA
rnacentral:rRNA from 1 species